rnacentral:rRNA from 1 species
GAUGAACGCUAGCGGGAGGCUUAACACAUGCAAGUCGAGGGGUAGGGGAGCAAUCCCCGAGACCGGCGGACGGGUGCGUAACGCGUAUGCAACUUGCCUUAUACAGGGGGAUAGCCCGUGGAAACGCGGAUUAAUACCCCAUAUGUCAUUUGGGUCGCAUGGUCUGGAUGAUAAAACUGAGGUGGUAUAAGAUGGGCAUGCGUCUGAUUAGCUGGUUGGUAAGGUAACGGCUUACCAAGGCGACGAUCAGUAGGGGUUCUGAGAGGAUAACUCCCCCACACUGGUACUGAGACACGGACCAGACCUCCGUACGGGAGGCAGCAGUGAGGAAUAUUGGUCAAUGGGCGCGAGCCUGAACCAGCCAUUCCGCGUGAAGGAAGAAGGCCUUAUGGGUUAGUAAACUUCUUUUCUGUAAGAAGAAAAGUCCCGACGUGUCGGGAUGUGACGGUAUUAUAGGAAUAAGCAUCGGCUAACUCCGUGCCAGCAGCCGACGGUAAAACGUGCGUG